rnacentral:pre_miRNA from 1 species
AAUGUACUCCCUCCGUCCGGAAAUACUUGUCAGAGGAACGGAUGUAUCUAGAUGUAUUUUAGUUCUAGAUACAUCCAUUUUUAUGCAUUUCUUCGACAAGUAUUUCCGGACGGAGGGAGUAUAUG